AGGAGGCUGGAGAGGGCUACAGUCCAUGGGGUCACAAAUAGUCGGACAUGACUGAGCAACAAACACUUUCACUUUUGAAGUCCUGCCUACACUGAUGAUGUUUAGAUGGGACUGCAUACUUUGUAAAAUGAGAACAUUUACACUUGACAGUGUUCUCUGUGCACGAGGACAUGGUGACCUGGGUGGAGACCUGGCCUGGCCUCUGUCCUGGAAAACUCCGUGCCUUUGUCUGAACGUCAGUGCUUAGAUGUCUGGGGUCUCGAGCUGAGGUGGGCUUCUGUGGGGAACCGUGCUCUCCUCUGAGUGGGCUUCCAUGGCCCUCCCGGGACUCAGUGCUGCAGUCGGGCUCAUAGUCUUUUCCCUGCCAGGUUCACCUUCCCUGGGGCUCGUGGAGACUCCUCAGGUGGGCUACCUGGUAAUUAUUUCAAUUUUUCCAGCACAUUCAGGUUGAGUAGGGAGUCAGGCGCACCUGGUGAAUUGGUUCCAGGGCACAGGAAUCAGGCAAAAAGUCAAUGCGCAGCAGGUGAGGUUGCUGCUGUGCUCUCCUUCCAGUCAACUCUCUCCUCCGAAGACAACUGAGCUGCCCCGUGUCUUUCGGCCCAGCUCUUCUAUUUUCUCAACAUCUCAGCAGGACAAGAAAGACAGAGCCUGCCAGAACCGAGAUCGUCCCUACUCAGCAGAGACCUGGACCUCGUCUUCCAGCCCUGUGCAUGGUGUGUUUUCUCUACACCUCAGUGGGACAAGGAAAAACCGAGCCUGCCAGAACCAAGGUGCUGGCCACAGGACAUUACUUGAGGGUGGCUGUCAUUUAUGGAACCCCGGCACUUGUGAACUGAGGUGCCUGUAAGCAAGAGUGAUCAAGUUGUAGUUACAGAAAACAUCUACCUUUUCAUGCCCACCUUUGGUUCUUGUGGGCAAACAGAGCCUGAGGGGGACGCACACUGACUGAAACCACCCGCCUGGCCAGGCACCAUAGUAACCAUUUGCGUG